UACGAAGGGGGCUAGCGUUGCCCGGAAUUACUGGGCGUAAAGCGCACGUAGGCGGCUUCUUAAGUCGGUGGUGAAAUCCUGGAGCUCAACUCCAGAACUGCCUUCGAUACUGGGAAGCUCGAGUCCGGGAGAGGUGAGUGGAACUGCGAGUGUAGAGGUGAAAUUCGUAGAUAUUCGCAAGAACACCAGUGGCGAAGGCGGCUCACUGGCCCGGUACUGACGCUGAGGUGCGAAAGCGUGGGGAGCAAACAGG
rnacentral:rRNA from 1 species